rnacentral:rRNA from 1 species
AGAACGAACGCUGGCGGCAGGCUUAACACAUGCAAGUCGAACGCGUGUAGCAAUACACGAGUGGCGCACGGGUGAGUAACGCGUGGAUAUCUGCCUUUUGGUUCGGAAUAACCCCGGGAAACUGGGGCUAAUACCGGAUGGUUCCUACGGGAUAAAGAUUUAUCGCCAAAAGAUGAGUCCGCGUACGAUUAGCUAGUUGGUGAGGUAAUGGCUCACCAAGGCGACGAUCGUUAGCUGGUCUGAGAGGACGAUCAGCCACACUGGGACUGAGACACGGCCCAGACUCCUACGGGAGGCAGCAGUGGGGAAUAUUGGACAAUGGGGGCAACCCUGAUCCAGCCAUGCCGCGUGAGUGAUGAAGGCCUUCGGGUUGUAAAGCUCUUUUGGCGGGGUACGAUGAUGACGGUACCGCAGAAUAAGCCCGGCUAACUUCGCGCCAGCAGCCGC